rnacentral:tRNA from 1 species
GAUGAGAUGCCUGACAAAAGGGCUACUUUGAUAGAGUAGAUCACGUGGGACACCCUACUCUCAUCA